AAUGAACGCUGGCGGCAGGCCUAAUACAUGCAAGUCGAACGGUGUCUUCGGACAUAGUGGCGCACGGGUGCGUAACACGUAUGCAACCUACCUUACAUUGGGGGAUAGCCUUUCGAAAGGGAGAUUAAUACCGCAUAAGACAGUAGCUGGGCAUCCAGCAGCUGUUAAAGAUUUAUCGAUGUAAGCUGGGCAUGCGUCCAAUUAGCUAGUUGGUGAGGUAACGGCUCACCAAGGCAAUGAUUGGUAGGGGAACUGAGAGGUCAAUCCCCCACACUGGAACUGAGAUACGGGCCAGAAUCCUACGGGAGGCAGCAGUAGGGAAUAUUGGGCAAUGGACGCAAGUCUGACCCAGCCAUGCCGCGUGCAGGAUGAAGGCGUUAUGCGUUGUAAACUGCUUUUAUACAGGAAGAAACUACUCUUGCGAGAGGCAUUGACGGUACUGUAUGAAUAAGCACCGGCUAACUCCGUGCCAGCCGCCGCCGUAA
rnacentral:rRNA from 1 species